rnacentral:rRNA from 1 species
GGGUGUUUGCUCUUUCGGGUAGGCAUUUAGGCUUGGCAAUCGAUGUAUUAUUAGAUCUAAGACCCAGUGGCGGGGCAACUCGUCUUUGUUGGUGAAUCAUAGUAACUGUUCGGAUCGUUUGGCCCUUGUGGCAACGACAGAUCGAUUAAACUCCUGUUCUAUCAGCUUGACUGGACUGUAGUGGACUCCAGUGGCUAUAACGGAUAACGGGGAAUCAGGGUUCGAUUCCGGAGAGGGAGCCUGAGAAACGGCUACCAAUUCUAAGGAAUGCAGCAGGCGCGCGACUUCCACAAUGCCCAAGGGGCGAUGGAGUGACAAGAAAUAACGAUACCGAGCGUUUUUGCGUUUGGUAAUUGGAAUGAGCACAAUUUAAAUCUCUUAGCGAGGAUCCAUUGGAGGGCAAGUCUGGUGCCAGCAGCCGCGGUAACACCAGCUCCAAUAGCGUAUAUUAAAGUUGUUGCAGUUAAAAAGCUCGUAGCCGGAUUUCUGGUCAUCGGAGUCGUCCUUCGGUGCUUACCUUCUAGGCCUUGUGCUUGGUCGGAAAGUGCUGUUGUUUGACAUUGCUUUGGGGCCAUCAUUCGUGGAGAACACGACGGCUCUUAAUUGAGUCGUUGUGGGAUCUCGAUCUUUUACUUUGAAGAAAUUAGAGUGUUCAAAGCAGGCUUUUUCGGCCCUUUGUGGUCGGGAUACAGGCUUUUUGAAUACACCAGCAUGGAAUAAUGCGAUAGGACUCUUUUUGUUCGUAUCUCGUUGGGUUCUUUGAACAAGAGUAAUGAUGCAAUAGGGAAAGCGACGGGGUGCUAGUAUUUGACGGCCAGAGGUGGAAUUCAGUGAUUCGUCAAAGACUAACUUAAGCGAAAGCAUUCACCAAGCAUUUGCCCGCAUUGGUCAAGAGCGAAAGCUGGGGAAUCGAAAACGAUCAGAUACCGUUGUAGUCUCAGCCAUAAACUAUGUUGACUAGGGGUCAGUUCGCGUUGAAAAACUUCUGCCCUUCGCCCUUUGUGGUGGAGUGUGCGGAAAAAUGACCGAAUUGGUACCUAAUGCGAAAGCAAAGUGUUCCAACUCCGGGGGGAAUAUAGUACGCAAGACUGAAACUUAAAGGAAUUGACGGAAGGGCACCACAAGGAGUGGAACCUGCGGCUUAAUUUGACCCAACACGGGGAAACUUACCAGGUCCAGACAUGGGUAGGAUUGACAGAUUGAAGAUCUUUCUUGAUUCCAUGGGUGGUGGUGCAUGGCCGUUCUUAGCUCGUGGAUUGAUUUGUCAGCCCAACCGCUUAAACGAGCGAGACCCCAGCCUUUAACUAGUUCGUCUAGCUUUCC